GGGUCCAUGAUGAGACUUUGUUUUGAGAGAUGAUGACUUAAAAGUCAUGUUUACUGAGAUUAUACAAAUUC
ensembl:snoRNA SNORD115 Small nucleolar RNA SNORD115